GAGGAGUAGAAGCAUCCACUGAUCGGGAACUGUGCACCAGACCUGGAAGUGACUAGUUCUAUCUCCUCAGACCGAACAUGAAGAGUCUCCUGUUCUCACUCUGUGUUAUAUUAACUCUACAAUGUGUCACAUCACAAAUCUCUAUGGUGGAGUCAGGUCCUGGUAUUGUGAAGCCUUCAGAGACUCUGGACAUGACCUGUAAAGUGACCGGGGCCUCCCUCACUGACAGCACUAACAUGCAUUGUGUAGAGUGGGUCCGACAACCUCAAGGGAAAGGACUGGACUGGUUGGGGAGAAUAUGUUAUGAGAAUAGCAAAAAUUAUGCCCAGUCUCUUCAGGGACGUCUAACUCUAACAAGAGACACAAAUAAAGGAGAAGUUUAUCUUAAACUCACUGGAGUGAAACCUGAAGAAUCUGGGAAAUAUUAUUGUGCUAGAGAGACGGUCUACUUCGAUAUAUGGGGUCUCGGCACCAUGGUCACCAUAACCUCAGCUACACAGCAGGCACCAUCUCUUUUUCCACUCAUUUCUUGCGGCACAUCUCAGGAUUCCACCUUCACCGUUGGUUGCUUGGCCAAAGAUUUCCUUCCAGAAACGAUUGACUUCACCUGGAACGAUAAGUCCAAUAACAGCUUUACCAAUGGCCUGUUGACAUACAAACCAGUCCUGCGAUCCAGUGGUAACUAUAUGGCCAGCUCACAAAUAAAAGUGACAGCUGACAGCUGGAACCGUCGCGAUGAAUAUUACUGCAUGGCAAAACAUUCACAAAACACCAAGGUCGUGAAACUUGUGAAAGAAGGUAAUAUUAAUGACGGACCAGGUCCAAUUUCAAAUCCAGUAGUGACCAUGAAUGCUCCUGUAAAAGAGGACCUUAAUGCGAAUGGCAAAGGUACAAUCGUGUGUGUCAUGGACGACUUUUUUCCCAAGGAAAUCCAAGUGAAAUGGUUCAAAAACCACGAGGAAACAACCCUCAACACCAUGACAGGCAACCUCUUUCAAAAGAGCAAUGGAAAUUUUACGCUAAGCUCCUAUAUCACAGUAUCUAAGAAGGAAUGGGAUGAAGACACCAUAUUCUCUUGUAAUGUAGUACAUUCUGGCAUUUCUGAAACUAGGAAUAUGAGCAAAUCCCAAACCUGUGAAGCACCACCUGUGCCCGGAGCUAUCCAAGUUGCUGUUGAGCCUCCAUCUUUUGAGACCAUAUUCUAUAAUAAAAAGGCACCACUCACCUGUAUAAUCUCCAAUAUGCAGAAUACAGAUGGAUUAGACGUCUCCUGGUAUGAACUGAGGUCUGAAGUCAAGCUUGAGACUGUACUUGAUAACCCUGUCUUCCAAGGUAGUUCAUAUUCUAUCAAGGCCAUAGCAUCAGUGUGUGCUGAUGACUGGUAUAGUAAGAAAUUUGAAUGCAGAGUGAAACAUCCAGACCUUACAUCCCCAAAGAAUGUAAUCCUGGCGAAAGAUACAAGCCAGACACCUCAGAAACCUACAGUUUAUCUUUACGGACCGCACCAAGAUGAACUAAAUAAUAAAGAAUCUCUCACACUGACAUGUGUUGGAAGGUCUUUCAAUCCACCAGACUCAUUUAUCAAGUGGUCAAAGAAUGAUCAGGUUAUAGAAAGAUAUGUUGUGACCACUAAACCUAUGGAAGAGCCUUAUUCUUCUGUCAAUAAAUCCUACUUCCAAUAUAGCACAUUAACUCUACCAAGCAUAGAGGACUGGAACAAUGGAGACACUUUUACCUGUACGUUUGGUCAUGAAGCAUUACCACUUCAGGCCACCCAGAGAAGCGUUGACAAAACUACUGGUAAACCAACUUCCGUGAAUGUGUCCCUCGUUAUGUCUGAUUCCUGUUAACAGUCCUUACAGAAAGACCUGCUAUCUCUUCCUCUUGUGAUUCCCUAUGUCAUGUGUGGAAUGAGAAGGAGGAAGAAGUGUUAUCUUGGUGUCUGUUAGUCUUUUUUUUGUACAUUAACUUCAUUGAACUUUGUCUGCAUAUUGAAAAGUAGAAAUAAAAAAAAUCUAUAAAAUGUU